GUGGGGAAUAUUCCGCAAUGGACGAAAGUCUGACGGAGCAACGCCGCGUGAGUGAUGAAGGUUUUCGGACUGUAAAGCUCUGUUGUUUAGGACGAAAGUGCCUGUUGCAAAUAGUUACAGGUAUUGACGGUACUGAACGAGGAAGCCACGGCUAACUACGUGCCAGCAGCCGCGGUAAUACGUAGGUGGCAAGCGUUGUCCGGAAUUAUUGGGCGUAAAGAGCAUGUAGGCGGGAAUCUAAGUCUGUUGUGAAAAUGCGGGGCUCAACCCCGUAUUGCGAUGGAAGCUGGGUUUCUUGAGUGCAGGAGAGGAAAGGGGAAUUCCCAGUGUAGCGGUGAAAUGCGUAGAUAUUGGGAGGAACACCAGUGGCGAAGGCGCCUUUCUGGACUGUGUCUGACGCUGAGAUGCGAAAGCCAGGGUAGCGAACGGGAUUAGAAACCCCGGUAGUCC
rnacentral:rRNA from 1 species